GACGAACGCUGGCGGCGUGCCUAAUACAUGCAAGUCGAACGCAUUUUCUUUCACCGUAGCUUGCUACACCGAAAGAAAAUGAGUGGCGAACGGGUGAGUAACACGUGGGUAACCUGCCCAUCAGCGGGGGAUAACACUUGGAAACAGGUGCUAAUACCGCAUAAUUCCAUUUACCGCAUGGUAGAUGGGUGAAAGGCGCUUUUGCGUCACUGAUGGAUGGACCCGCGGUGCAUUAGCUAGUUGGUGGGGUAACGGCCUACCAAGGCUGCGAUGCAUAGCCGACCUGAGAGGGUGAUCGGCCACCCUGGGACUGAGACACGGCCCAGACUCCUACGGGAGGCAGCAGUAGGGAAUCUUCGGCAAUAGACGCAAGUCUGACCGAGCAACGCCGCGUGAGUGAAGAAGGUUUUCGGAUCGUAAAACUCUGUUGUUAGAGAAGAACAAGGAUGAGAGUGGAAAGUUCAUCCCUUGACGGUAUCUAACCAGAAAGCCACGGCUAACUACGUG
rnacentral:rRNA from 1 species